rnacentral:rRNA from 1 species
GAUGAACGCUGGCGGCGUGCCUAAUACAUGCCAGUCGAGCGAACGGACGAGAAGCUUGCUUCUCUGAUGUUAGCGGCGGACGGGUGAGUAACACGUGGAUAACCUACCUAUAAGACUGGGAUAACUUCGGGAAACCGUAGCUAAUACCGGAUAAUAUUUUGAACCGCAUGGUUCAAAAGUGAAAGACGGUCUUGCUGUCACUUAUAGAUGGAUCCGCGCUGCAUUAGCUAGUUGGUAAGGUAACGGCUUACCAAGGCAACGAUGCAUAGCCGACCUGAGAGGGUGAUUGGGCAACAUGGAAACGAGACACGGUCCCGACUCCUAAGGGAGGGCGCAGUAGGGAAUCUUCCGGAAUGGGCGAAAGCCUGACGGAGGAAAGGCGGGUGAGUGAUGAAGGUUCUCGGAUCGUAAAAACCUGUUAUUAGGGAAGAAAAUAUGUGUAAGGAACUGUGCACAUCUUGACGGUACCUAAUCAGAAAGCCACGGCUAACUACGUG